rnacentral:rRNA from 1 species
UUCGCAAUGCCCGAAAGGGUGACGAAGCGACGCCGCGUGCGGGAAGAAGGUCUUCGGGUUGUAAACCGCUGUCGGGAGUUAAGAAAUGUAAGGAUGUUAAUAGCAUCUUUGCUUGACUAAGGCUCCGGAGGAAGCCACGGCUAACUCUGUGCCAGCAGCCGCGGUAAUACAGAGGCGGCAAGCGUUGUUCGGAAUUAUUGGGCGUAAAGAGCACGUAGGCGGCUAUGUAAGUCGGUUGUGAAAGCCUUCCGCUCAACGGGAGAACAGCAUCCGAUACUGCAUGGCUUGAGUGCGGGAGGGGAGAGUGGAACUUCUGGUGGAGCGGUGAAAUGCGUAGAUAUCAGAAGGAACGCCGGCGGCGAAAGCGGCUCUCUGGCCCAUAACUGACGCUGAGUGUGCGAAAGCUAGGGGAGCAAACGGGAUUAGAUACCCCGGUAGUCCUAGCCGUAAACGAUGGGCACUAAGUAGAGGGGUUUU